rnacentral:sRNA from 1 species
CGGUGAGAAAAGACGGUAGAUUGGAACUUACGCA